GGGGUUGUAGCCUAGUGGUUAGAGCAUCGGACUACGACUUGAAGGUCGGGGGUUCGAUUCCCGAUCCCA
rnacentral:tRNA from 1 species